rnacentral:rRNA from 1 species
GUGGGGUAAAGGCCUACCAAGGCGACGAUCAGUAGCCGGCCUGAGAGGGUGGACGGCCACACUGGGACUGAGACACGGCCCAGACUCCUACGGGAGGCAGCAGUGGGGAAUAUUGGACAAUGGGCGAAAGCCUGAUCCAGCAAUGCCGCGUGUGUGAAGAAGGCCUGCGGGUUGUAAAGCACUUUAAGUGGGGAAGAACGGGAUUGUGCUAAUACCGCGAUCCUUUGACGUUACCCACAGAAUAAGCACCGGCUAACUCCGUGCCAGCAGCCGCGGUAAUACGGAGGGUGCGAGCGUUAAUCGGAAUUACUGGGCGUAAAGCGCAUGUAGGCGGUUUGAUAAGUCGGAUGUGAAAUCCCUGGGCUUAACCUGGGAAUGGCAUUCGAUACUGUCAGGCUAGAGUAGGAUAGAGGAGAGGGGAAUUCCGCGUGUA